rnacentral:rRNA from 1 species
UAGGUAACCUGCCUCUAAAGAUUGGGAUAACUUGUCGAAAGACGAGCUAAUACCAAAUAAGACCACGGUCUCCUCGGGGACAGAGGUCAAAGGUAGCCUCUAUUUAUAAGCUAUCGCUGAGAGAUGGGCCUGCGUACCAUUAGCUUGUUGGUGAGGUAACGGCUCACCAAGGCAAAGAUGGUUAGCUGAUCUGAGAGGAUGAUCAGCCACACGUGGAA